AAAACUUUCAACAACGGAUCUCUUGGCUCUGGCAUCGAUGAAGAACGCAGCGAAAUGCGAUAAGUAAUGUGAAUUGCAGAAUUCAGUGAAUCAUCGAAUCUUUGAACGCACAUUGCGCCCGCCAGUAUUCUGGCGGGCAUGCCUGUUCGAGCGUCAUUACAACCCUCAGGCCCCCGGGCCUGGCGUUGGGGAUCGGCGGAAGCCCCCUGCGGGCACAACGCCGUCCCCCAAAUACAGUGGCGGUCCCGCCGCAGCUUCCAUUGCGUAGUAGCUAACACCUCGCAACUGGAGAGCGGCGCGGCCACGCCGUAAAACACCCAACUUCUGAAUGUUGACCUCGAAUCAGGUAGGAAUACCCGCUGAACUUAAGCAUAUCAAUAAGCGGAGGAAAAGAAACCAACAGGGAUUGCCCCAGUAACGGCGAGUGAAGCGGCAACAGCUCAAAUUUGAAAUCUGGCUCUCGGGCCCGAGUUGUAAUUUGUAGAGGAUGCUUUUGGUGAGGUGCCUUCCGAGUUCCCUGGAACGGGACGCCAUAGAGGGUGAGGGCCCCGUCUGGUUGGACACCGAUCCUCUGUAAAGCUCCUUCGACGAGUCGAGUAGUUUGGGAAUGCUGCUCUAAAUGGGAGGUAUAUGUCUUCUAAAGCUAAAUACCGGCCAGAGACCGAUAGCGCACAAGUAGAGUGAUCGAAAGAUGAAAAGAACUUUGAAAAGAGAGUUAAAAAGUACGUGAAAUUGUUGAAAGGGAAGCGCUUGUGACCAGACUUGGGCUUGGUUGAUCAUCCGGGGUUCUCCCCGGUGCACUCUUCCGGCUCAGGCCAGCAUCAGUUCGCCCUGGGGGAUAAAGGCUUCGGGAAUGUGGCUCUCUCCGGGGAGUGUUAUAGCCCGCUGCGUAAUACCCUGUGGCGGACUGAGGUUCGCGCAUUCGCAAGGAUGCUGGCGUAAUGGUCAUCAGUGACCCGUCUUGAAACACGGACC
rnacentral:rRNA from 1 species